AUGUGGCCAGCUUGACUAAGCCGCCAGCACACAGCGCGGCAGGACGCGCCCGGGUCUCAGCGGACUUGUGCAUGUUAGCUGUGUAGAUUUAUGUGAGGGCUUGUAAAACUCUGGUCUUGUAAACUAGUCUUAAGCGCUUUUAAUAUGGAGACAGAUGAGAGCCCCUCUCCGCUCCCGUGUGGGCCCGCAGGAGAAGCGGUGAUGGAGAGCCGAGCUCGCCCCUUCCAAGCGCUGCCCCGUGAGCAGUCUCCACCACCUCCCCUGCAAACGUCCAGUGGUGCAGAGGUAAUGGACGUUGGCUCUGGUGGUGAUGGACAGUCCGAACUCCCUGCCGAGGACCCCUUCAACUUCUACGGAGCUUCUCUUCUCUCCAAAGGAUCCUUCUCUAAGGGCCGCCUCCUCAUAGACCCGAACUGUAGUGGCCACAGCCCGCGCACCGCCCGGCACGCACCUGCGGUCCGGAAGUUCUCCCCUGACCUUAAGUUGCUUAAGGAUGUAAAGAUUAGCGUGAGCUUUACCGAGAGCUGCAGGAGUAAGGACAGGAAGGUGCUGUACACAGGAGCAGAGCGCGACGUGCGGGCGGAGUGCGGUCUGCUCCUUAGCCCUGUCAGUGGGGACGUGCAUGCUUGUCCCUUUGGCGGGAGUGUUGGUGACGGGGUAGGCAUAGGGGGUGAGAGUGCUGAUAAGAAGGAUGAGGAGAAUGAGCUGGAUCAGGAAAAGAGAGUGGAGUAUGCAGUGCUCGAUGAGUUAGAAGAUUUUACUGACAAUUUGGAGCUAGAUGAAGAAGGAGCAGGCGGGUUCACGGCUAAAGCAAUCGUUCAGAGAGACAGAGUGGAUGAAGAGGCCUUGAAUUUCCCCUACGAGGUAUGUUGGCAGCCCCUCCUCUGGAGGGCUCUUAGCAAAACCCAAAGAGAGAUUUGGGAAUUGCGGCAUCUUUUGAAAGCAGGGAAAUUAAAAAAAAAAAACAAAACCAAAAUCCCCUCUGAUGUGGAAUAAUGUUAAUGUGGAGAAGAGAAAGAUGUAAGGAGUCCAGAUUUUUAAAGUUUCCUAAUGAAAAAUUUGGCCCAUGGGUAGGCCCUGCACCCCUGAUCCAGCGCGUGGGGCAGCAGGUGCUGCUGAGAUACGCUCCUUGGCAGUGUGUGCCCCUGGAUCAGGUGUGUUGGUGUCAGCUGGUAGCUUCAUCCCGUUUGUUUUUCAGAUGAUCAUGCACCCUAAGGGCACAUCUAGGCCCCCUGAGAGCACUUCCUUUCUGUGUCUGUUCUCAGGAAUGCUGUUGAGCUCUGCUGUUGCAGGAGCAUGAGCGCCAGGGGCUUUGGUGUCUGAACAGCGUGUUUUGCAGGAUGACUUUGACAACGAUGUGGAUGCUCUGCUGGAAGAAGGCCUUUGUGCCCCCAAAAAGAGGCGAACAGAGGAAAAAUAUGGCGGAGACAGCGACCAUCCGUCAGAUGGAGAGACGAGUGUGCAGCCGAUGAUGACCAAGAUUAAAACAGUGCUCAAAAGUCGUGGCCGCCCACCUACAGAGCCGCUGCCCGACGGGUGGAUCAUGACAUUCCAUAACUCUGGAGUCCCAGUGUACCUACACAGAGAGUCUCGGGUGGUCACCUGGUCCAGGCCAUACUUCUUGGGAACGGGAAGCAUACGGAAACACGACCCUCCUCUGAGUAGCAUCCCUUGUCUGCAUUAUAAGAAAAUGAAGGACAACGAGGAACGGGAGCAAAGCAGUGACCUCACUCCUAGUGGGAAUGUGUCCCCUGUCAAGCCCCUGAGCCGAUCUGCAGAGCUGGAGUUUCCCCUGGAUGAGCCUGACUCUAUGGGUGCUGACCCGGGGCCCCCGGACGAGAAAGACCCACUAGGGGCUGAGGCAGCCCCUGGGGCCCUGGGGCAGGUGAAGGCCAAAGUUGAGGUGUGCAAAGACGAAUCUGUUGAUCUCGAGGAAUUUCGAAGCUACCUGGAGAAGCGUUUUGACUUUGAGCAAGUUACUGUGAAAAAAUUCAGGACUUGGGCUGAGCGGCGGCAAUUCAAUCGGGAAAUGAAGCGGAAGCAGGCGGAGUCCGAGAGGCCCAUCUUGCCAGCCAAUCAGAAGCUCAUUACUUUAUCAGUGCAAGAUGCACCCACAAAGAAAGAGUUUGUUAUUAACCCCAACGGGAAAUCCGAGGUCUGCAUCCUGCACGAGUACAUGCAGCGUGUCCUCAAGGUCCGCCCUGUCUAUAAUUUCUUUGAAUGUGAGAACCCAAGUGAGCCUUUUGGUGCCUCGGUGACCAUUGAUGGUGUGACUUACGGAUCUGGAACUGCAAGCAGCAAAAAACUUGCGAAGAAUAAAGCUGCCCGAGCUACACUGGAAAUCCUCAUCCCUGACUUUGUUAAACAGACCUCUGAAGAGAAGCCCAAAGACAGUGAAGAACUUGAGUAUUUUAACCACAUCAGCAUCGAGGACUCGCGGGUCUACGAGCUGACCAGCAAGGCUGGGCUGUUGUCUCCGUAUCAGAUCCUCCACGAGUGCCUUAAAAGAAACCAUGGGAUGGGUGACACGUCUAUCAAGUUUGAAGUGGUUCCUGGGAAAAACCAGAAGAGUGAAUACGUCAUGGCGUGUGGCAAGCACACAGUAAGAACAAGAGAGUUGGAAAGCAGUUAGCCUCACAGAAGAUCCUUCAGCUGCUGCACCCACAUGUCAAGAACUGGGGGUCUUUACUGCGCAUGUACGGCCGUGAGAGCAGCAAGAUGGUCAAGCAGGAGACGUCGGACAAGAGUGUGAUUGAGCUGCAGCAGUAUGCCAAGAAGAACAAGCCCAACCUGCACAUCCUCAGCAAGCUCCAAGAGGAGAUGAAGAGGCUAGCUGAGGAGAGGGAGGAGACUCGAAAGAAGCCCAAGAUGUCCAUUGUGGCGUCCGCCCAGCCUGGCGGUGAGCCCCUGUGCACCGUGGACGUGUGAGGGAGAUGGCACGGGCCAGGGCGCGGGGGCCGCCAGCGGCACUUCUGAGGAGACCAGCAGUCAUGCAUCGUGCACCACAGUGUCAGGCCUCCAACCCAAGCUCCUUCCCUGUGGCCAACCUGUGGGCCCGGCCUUAGGGUGGAGGCUCUGGUGUACAGGGACAGCCAUGGCCACACAGCACACAUGUGGAGCAGCGGCUCUCCCCGGAAAGCUCCAGGCCUGAAUGGAUGGACUCAGCGACUGCACCAGUGGCAGCUGGUGACUGUGGACAGUGGUGGACCCUGCUUCUGUGCACCUGCUGCAGGCUCUUUUUAUGAAGGCUUUCAUGAAUUUUAGUAUGUAAUAUGCACUGACGACACAUGAUGCUUGGAUGACAGAUGAGAGGGGGAUGGCUGAGUCCUGUGGCUGGUCCGUGAUGCCAGGUGGCCCAUGUGCCCAGGGCGCCUGCGGAGCUGCUGCAGGGACCUGGUCAGGAGGUGCACAUGGUACCCUGCCCUCACCCACCCUCUGUGUUUCCCCUUCUUUGAAAAGGUAGGACAGAAAGGAAUAUUUUAAACCUUUUUGGCUUAAACAGAAUUUUAGCAUCAGAACUACCUUUCUGGGAUUGGAAGCAAACCAUCAAGGUGGUCCCUCUCUAGUCUGGACACCAUGCCAGCAAGGAUGACGUCCUGCCACCUCCCGGAGUUGCCCUGGCCUCCUAGGGCCCCUUUUUCUGAUGAAGUCUUAAUGCCCUAAAAGCGCCUCUCUGGACACUGAGGCCCUCCCUGCCUUUCCUGGCCUCCGGCAACAGUUUUUUACAAAGAUUUUUUGCAGUCGAGUCCAUAUGUCCACCCAUUGAUUUUUAAACCUUUUGUGAUAUUUUAGCAUUUUGAAAGACUUUUACAGUGAGAGUAGAAGGUAGAUUUGGAAUCAUGCAUUUUAGCAAGUGGACUUGUUUUAACAGGAAGCAAAGGCCUUCAGUGUAGCCUAUUCUUGAUCCAGAGCUGUUGCCUGUGGCAGCGGCUUCUCUGGAUGUCAAAGGCAGCUGCCUGGUGCCCAGCUUGCUUCUUGACUGGUGGCCCCUGUGGGUGGGUGUGGGAUGGAAAUGUGUUCCUGCCUGAGUCUGAGGCACCAGGGUGUGCUCAAAGGCUGGCCCUGGUGGUGGAUUGGCACCUGUGCAGAGUGCCAUGUGCUUGUGGUGUGCCAUCCGAAGCAAGAGUCCAGCAUUCUGCCGUGUCUGUCCCCCACUCUGCCCCCCACAGGCGGUACUGAUGGCGCCUUUUUUUUUUUGGUCAGGAAAACAAUGUUGGCCUGUGGGCCGCCCACAACAUAUCCUUCCCUCACUACCUGUGUGACCAAGGUUGGCUUCUGUUGACCUUUAAAAAAGAAACCCUCUACUCAAAUUGCUAUAAUUAGACACUUGCUUCUGUCUUGCCUCCUGUCUGCAGCUGUGAAUAGUCAUUUGACCGUGACUGUUGCCCUUAGCCAGCCAGAUGCGCCUGUGAACCAGAGCUUCGUGCACAUGUGUUCCCCUAAAGGUUGGGGAGCCUCGCUGUGUCUUGCUGUUCCCAGGCACCACCACAGCAGGUGCUGCCAUACUCUUGUGGUCUCUGUGCCCCCUCCCCCGCCUACCCGUCUGCCAAGCGUGGGUGUGAAUUAUGUGCACACAGCCGUGCUUCAAGGCCGGGGCAGGGGAGCCUGUGCUGAUGCCAUCUAGGGCACUGGGCUGUGCCUGGAAGGUGAGCCUCGAUUGUCUGAACACAUAAAGCAAACUGUCCAGAA
rnacentral:sRNA from 1 species